UAUAUAUUACCUUCAUUUUGACAUGACACUCACGAAACACGAACCCUUUCUUCUAGAAGGAAUGGAUUUCGUUCAAAGCGCAAAAAAUACACCUUGCCAUAUCUAUGAUGAGCCCGCAAAGUGUGGCAACGGGAGGAAGAAGUAGUGGUGAAGGUGGGGGCACAGAGGCUAUCUUACACCGCAAAUGCCUUCACGAACCAGCCAACAUGCAUGGAGCUUAACUCACUCCGUCUUAGGCUUGCAGCUAACACAAUAUACAACACACUUGCAGGGAUGCAGCUCUAGAUUCAACUCACUUAACGUUGGGGUUUAGAAUAACCUCAUAGGGAUCGAGGAUCACGCAUGAGCAUGGCCUCUUUUGCCCCCGUGCCCAUCCCCCAAUGAGUCCGUGACUCCUCUAUCUCGGCCACACGUACAACAAGGCUUCAAUUCCCU
rnacentral:lncRNA from 1 species